GGAACCCGAAAGCCUGUCUCAGUUCGGAUUGGAGUCUGCAACCCGACUCCAUGAAGCUGGAUUCGCUAGUAAUCGCGCAUCAGCCACGGCGCGGUGAAUACGUUCCCGGGCCUUGUACACACCGCCCGUCAAGCCAUGGAAGCCGGGGGUGCCUGAAGUGCGCUGCCGCAAGGAGCGCCCUAGGGUAAAACCGGUGACUGGGGCUAAGUCGUAACAAGGUAAC
rnacentral:rRNA from 1 species